UACGAAGGGGGCUAGCGUUGUUCGGAUUUACUGGGCGUAAAGGGCGCGUAGGCGGCGACUCUAGUCAGAUGUGAAAGUCCUGGGCUUAACCUGGGGACUGCAUUUGAUACUGGGUUGCUUGAAUUCGGGAGAGGAUAGCGGAAUUCCCAGUGUAGAGGUGAAAUUCGUAGAUAUUGGGAAGAACACCGGUGGCGAAGGCGGCUAUCUGGACCGACAUUGACGCUGAGGCGCGAAAGCGUGGGGAGCAAACAGG
rnacentral:rRNA from 1 species